rfam:Triticum aestivum genome assembly, contig: Triticum_aestivum_CS42_TGACv1_scaffold_576871_7BL
GUAGUAUUCCCUCCGUCCCAAAAUUCUUGUCUUACAUUUGUUUAGAUACGGAUGUAUCUAACACUAAAAUGUAACUAGAUACAUCGGUAUUUAGACAAAUUUAAGACAAGAAUUUUGGGACGGAGGGAGUACAAA